rnacentral:rRNA from 1 species
ACGUAGGGGGCUAGCGUUAUCCGGAAUUACUGGGCGUAAAGGGUGCGUAGGUGGUUUCUUAAGUCAGAAGUGAAAGGCUACGGCUCAACCGUAGUAAGCUUUUGAAACUGAGAAACUUGAGUGCAGGAGAGGAGAGUAGAAUUCCUAGUGUAGCGGUGAAAUGCGUAGAUAUUAGGAGGAAUACCAGUUGCGAAGGCGGCUCUCUGGACUGUAACUGACACUGAGGCACGAAAGCGUGGGGAGCAAACAGGAUUAGAUACCCUGGUAGUCCACGCCGUAAACGAUGAGUACUAGCUGUCGGAGGUUACCCCCUUCGGUGGCGCAGCUAACGCAUUAAGUACUCCGCCUGGGAAGUACGCUCGCAAGAGUG